rnacentral:rRNA from 1 species
GAUGUCAGAUUAGCUAGUUGGUGAGGUAAAGGCUCACCAAGGCGACGAUCUGUAGCGGGUCUGAGAGGAUGAUCCGCCACACUGGAACUGAGACACGGUCCAGACUCCGUACGGGAGGCAGCAGGUGGGUAAUUUUGGACAAUGGGGCAACCCUGAUCCAGCCAUGCCGCGUGAGUGAAGAAGGCCUUCGGGUUGUAAAGCUCUUUCGGCCGGGAAGAAAUCGCAUGGGUUAAUACCCUGUGCGGAUGACGGUACCGGCAUAAGAAGCACCGGCUAACUACGUG